CCCUUAGUAGCAUAGUAGUAACAUAUCUUAAAACUAGAGCCACUCGACCAUUUCAAACAUCAUUUUCAUUCUCAGUGGCCCAAAAUUAGUAAUGUUUGACUACAUUUAUUUCAGAAGUAUUUCGACUGUAAAACAGUGAUAUUCUUGAUAUU